CGGAUCGAACGUGGGUCGGCAGAAAUAUCUCCCUCGUCACCCCCUUUUUCUCCCUCGUCUCUUCCCAUCCCGCUGCUCUUCUCCAUGCCGCCGCCGCUGCUUCCCCCUUCCUCUCGGCCGCCUGUCUCCCCCGCCUCCACCACCUUCUCCCCUCCUGCCUCCUCACCCAACCUGCGCAGCCAUACUAGCACAGCCAGACUAUGCGAUGUGGACGAGGAAGGGACAGAUCGGGAGGCGGGCAAGAGGAACCAGGCGGUUCUCCUUCCAUGGCCAGGCCUCGACCUGCCGCAUCUUCCUCCUCCCAGUCCGGCAGAGAGGAGUGGCGGAUCCGCCUCCUCAAGCGAGCAGGGGCGCACAGGGAUUUGAUCCAGGGAUCUCCUUGCGAGAGGCCGCCACCGUACCGACUCCAACCUACAGCCGGUUCCAACUCAGGUCUGAUGCAAUUUUGGAACUGAAUGGUUAUUCGGUCUGACUUGUUCAUGUAGUUCAUGGCACUAUGUCGGCAAGCUACAUCUUGUGAAGAUUUGGCUACCGCAUUAUAUGGUGGUGUUUCACUUCCCUCAGUCAAGGAUUCUCUGGAGUAUUGACAAUUGCAGGCUUCAUCAAUCAGAACAUGUGUAGAGGUGCCAUCCAUUGAUGUUUCCUUGGAGUACUGAUAAUUUAACUUGUUUCAUGAGAUAAACUUCCUUUCUCGUACGCUCCUUCUCUAUAUAACUGGGUUCAAAUACACAAUGAGGUUCAGAGAGUAGCACACUCCCUCACGGCUGGACAAGGCAGAGAUGUGUCGAGGAUCCGCACACACUUCAUCGUCAUCUUCUCCGCCUCAACUUCCUUGACAACACCUGGCCUCAAGCUCCAUCCAUAGCAGAUUGCCCCCAAGUAUCUAAGCCCCAUUACCCUUCUUCCUUCCUAUUAUUUAUCACAUGUAUCCAUGCCCAGGCUAAUGCACACCAGCAGCCUUGUAAAAUGUCUGGAUGAUCUUUGUUUUGUAGAAUGUGUGCUGCUAUAAUUAGGCCAUGUGAAAUUAUAGGUAUACUUUCUUGAGCUGCUGCAGAUCCUUUUAACAGCGAAGAUAUUUACGGCAGCCUACUCCAUGUAGAUUUUACAGCGAAAAACUGAAGAACUUGUGAUGGCCACAAAGAGACUGAAAUAUUUGCACGAAGCGAAGACAUCCACCCGGUAUACAUAUGGAUGACCCUUGUCCUGGACCCUCGGGCUGUGGUAAAAGAACCCUUUUGCUGGCAUUUUCUCUCAAGGACUCGAAGAGGUAUAGUUCUGGAAGGGAUGCUCAUGUAAACCUUAAAAGAGCAGAAAAGGCAUGGAUUUUGGUCACUAAAAUUCCAAGUAGGUUUUAGUUCCAAUGCUGGAGAACUAUUCAUGUAUUUCAGUUGCAAGACCCAUAUUUUUUCCAGCUAUGGUGGGCAACCUAAUAAACCGUACCAUUUCUUGGGAAAAUGCAAGAAAUAAGCCAUUCCUAUAUGAUGGGGAUUCAUCUAUGAAGCCUGAGAAGUAGUCUAUUUCUAUCAUGUGGCAGAAGAAUCAAGCGUGAUAAUAGGGAGAAGGGUAACACUCUUCUCUCGAUGACCACAAGGCAUAGGGUCGGCAGGUGCCGAAUUCUCAUGUUGUUGCAAUUCUGAAAUAUGGAUGGUUCGCUUGAUUGCUUCCGAGGUGAACUAAAUUCUCUAUUGUUUCAGCCUUAAGAGUAGAUCCAGUUCCUCUCAUGUCUGAAUGAGCCGAAGGAUAAUUUCCUUCAUGUUGAAGUACCGAUGCAUUUGCUUUGCAGAAAAAAAAUUAGACACCGUGGUUGAAGGCCCAGUGUAUGAAUACUUCAUUUUGAACCAUUUGCAUUGCCAAACUGCAUGUCUCAUUUUCUUUUGUGUAUGUUAGCAGUAUAUAUUUUUAGCUUGCACAUGGUCAACCUUGAAUGUCCACUGUUUCACAAGUUUACCAUAGGCAUAGGGUAAGUGUUGAUUGACAAGUUCACAAAUAAACUAGCAAUAACUGGCAUGAGGCAGAAUUGUCCUGGACAUAUCCAGAAUUCCAGAAUUUUACUUCAACCUCGAAUGAUUUUCUUAUAUCUCCUUUUCUUUCAUGUAUAUGUGCAGUCUACAUAGAUCUUAUUAUUUCACAUGUUCUUAAGAUGAAGACACAUCUAGGGAAAGGUUUUGAUGUAAUGAAGUACAUUUAUUUGUGAUAGUUCUCCCAACCUGAUAAAAUCAGAAUAUUUGUCCUUGCUUUUUUACUUUUCACAUUGUUAUGUUUCACGUUGUUGUCCAAAGGGAUGUGCCUUAUUGUCCAAAUUUUCUUAUAUAUCCUUGUAUCCAUCACUUCUCACUAAGAUCCGUAAAUGUGAUUGAUGAACAAGGUUAGAGAAAAAUUAGCUUGACAUUCUCGAGUUGUUGAACCAAGGAAUUUAUGCUAUGAACAAGUUUUAAAAAUAGUGCUGGUGAAAAGUGUUGUUCUAGAAAUAGCUUUAUGCCAUUUUUUAGCUUUUACUAAUUUUUUAUUAUGUUAGCUUUUAUUAAACUUUGUCUUAGUUGACUCCGUGUUCUUUGUAUGCUUAGGUUAGAAUCCCAACAAAGGUGCUUCUGGAUGAUAUGAUGUGGCAACUCCAGUUUCUAAAUGUAGUUUACUCAACCCGCAAAGAAAGAACGGUUGGCCUCGACGCAACAGUUGAGUUCUAUUCACUUGGUCACAAGCAUCACUCGGGUUUAGAUAUGAGCUCAAUGACAUGGAAGACAUAAACUACGACAAGGCACAACUAGCUCAACAAAAAUGCCAGACCCUAGAGCAUCAACAAAAAGAAAAGGACAGAAUAAUCAACUAUUUUAGCAAUAGUUGUGCAAUAGCCUCAUUGGAGAUCGCAUGGCAGCAAAGGAACUUUACCGCAUAGAUACAAACUUCAUAGCUGGCUCAACAUCGAAAGAUAACAAUCUCAAUCAUGUUUUAUCACAGGUAAAAUAUGUUGCUGGCCGUCUUAGCUGUACAACAACAGUCUGAAUAUGAUCUCUAGCAAACAAACCACUAUUAUUGGAGAUUGACGGUGACAUCGAAGGAAUUUCUGAUCUAUAUGUCUACCAUGAAGAAUAGCAGCUAUGAAUGAUCUAUCUGUCUACCAUAAAGAAUAGCAGCUAUGAAGAGUCCUCAGAGAAUCGUUCUAAAUGUCCAGCGAUAGAUCUAUCUAUCGUAUCUCUGCCUAUCCGCAUGCCUUGCGCAUAACAUUGUAAAUGAUCGUUCGUCAGCUUCUUUGGAAACAUGUAUCAUCAUGAACCAUGUAUCUAUCAUCAAUCCAUACUUAUUUUUAUAUGUUUCA